CCAAUUUGGAGAGUUUGAUCCUGGCUCAGGACGAACGCUGGCGGCGUGCCUAAUACAUGCAAGUCGAGCGGAGUCUUGUUGGAAGCUUGCUUCCAACCUGGCUUAGCGGCGGACGGGUGAGUAACACGUAGGCAACCUACCCUCUAGACUGGGAUAACUACCGGAAACGGUAGCUAAUACCGGAUAAUUCCUUGACCCUCAUGGGUUUGGGAUGAAAGGCGGAGCAAUCUGCUGCUAGAGGAUGGGCCUGCGGCGCAUUAGCUAGUUGGUGGGGUAACGGCCCACCAAGGCGACGAUGCGUAGCCGACCUGAGAGGGUGAACGGCCACACUGGGACUGAGACACGGCCCAGACUCCUACGGGAGGCAGCAGUAGGGAAUCUUCCGCAAUGGGCGAAAGCCUGACGGAGCAACGCCGCGUGAGUGAUGAAGGUUUUCGGAUCGUAAAGCUCUGUUGCCAGGGAAGAACGUCCGGUAGAGUAACUGCUGCCGGAGUGACGGU
rnacentral:rRNA from 1 species